GGACCGCAGAGGACUGAGGACGAAGUCCGCCAGACUGAGCGCAGAGGCCGUCUCACGCUCUUGCUGUGGAACCCCUUCUACACCACAGAUUUUCCCCCAGGACCUUGAGGGAGCGGGCGACGCCCCCCUACGCGUUCCCGUCGUCAUCCUAGAGUGAGGACGUCCCUCUUGGAGUUUGUUGGACUGGUAAAUUCAGGUCCCUGCUAACGCAGAAUGCGAACAGAGUUGAAGGACCACAACGCUCCGGCUAGUGCGGUGACAAAAAAUUCAAGAGCUUCGAAGAAGGAACCAGCCCUGCUGACAUUUUGACUUUAGCCCAGCGAGACAGAUUUUGAACGUCUAACUCAGUUUUUCAUUGUAGCUGAGAACACUAGCGAGUUUUUGCUGGAAGUCACCAAGAUCAGGACAUCUGUGCAGCUGUAAGAGAUCAACAAUCCCAUCGUGUCUCAUGGCUGUAUUUAUAAAGAGGCGCCAUUCCGAAGGAGUCCUUCCCUCUCCCGGGUAAAGCUGUCCUCCGCCUGCUCCAGGCGAGCCUUGAGUUCCAUCUCGUGUUCCAGCCUCAGCUUCUCCCGCAGCCAUUUGAAAAUUUGAAGUUACAUAUACGGUUUGCAUCAUAUUUCUCUCCAAUAGCAUUGGAAUGUAGUAUUUAAUGACACGGAAAAACAUUCUCAACACAUUGUUACAAUUGGCUGCAGGCUACCUAUCAGCAAAAGAGAACUCAGGAAAAAACAUAAAAAGCUGCCACACCUUCAGGAUCUCCUGGCUGUUCUCAAUGCCCUCUUCCUGCCAGGAGUCGAGUAUUUUCUCCACUGAUGCAUAGCCCAUCCCAUCAUCCAGGCAGGAGAAGACCCGAAAGCCAAUGGUACUUGUCAUUGCUGAUGGGGUUGUGGUACGUCGUCCACUCUCAUCGAAGGACUGGGAGAAGAAAGAGACUUGAGCAAGGUCAGGCCUUUCAACCAGACAUUGACCCAAACUGGUCCGUCCUGACCACACUGAGCAGAAGCCAUGUCUUUCUAACACUAUUAAAAAAAAAAUAAAGUCA